UGGUGGUUUGGUCUCAGUGGGUGAGAAAACCGGUCACAGAGGAGCAAAGGACAUUCAUGAUUUGUGAAGGAGACACAAAAUGGUACAUCAUCUGAAAUGUUGGAGCUUUUCAACCGAAAGCUUGAUGGCCUUGCAAAGCACCAUUUUAAUUGGCUCCACAAGGCCAAAGAGUGCAGGGCAUUAAAAGACAGCCUUAGAGAUGAUGAGAUAGUUGUGCAUGUUGAUUUUGCAGAAGAUUUCGGCUGCAAACUCAACAGGGAAGGGCAGGCUUUCAACUUUGGAGGAAACAGAAGGCAGGCCACUGUACACUCCUGUGUUGCCUACUCCUCAGAUGGAGUGCAAUCCUUUGCCACUAUCUCUGGGUCCCUCCGGCAUGAUGAGAGAGCUGUUUGGGCCCACCUUGAGCCUGUGAUUAAAGAUGUUCUUGACAAUCUGAACCCACGUCCAACUACUCUCCACGUGAUGAUCGACGGACCGGUCACUCAGUACCGUAGUAAAAAUAACUUUUACCUGCUGAGCACCAUCCCCUUCCUUUCAGGAUUCAAGCAGGUCACUUGGAACUUCUCUGAGAAGUCGAACGGUAAAGGUGCAGCAGAUGGGGUUGGGGGUGCUGUCAAAAGGAUAGCUGACUCUUCUGUCAACAUGGGAGUAGACAUUCAAACCCCAGAGUAAAGGGAACUAUGGGCAUACACCAGAUCCUGUCAACUGAACCAGGGACAAUUCUGCAUCGAGAGCUGUCCUGUUUCUGUAGCAGGCCUGACAUCUGCCAAUGCUACAAAAUCACCAUGAUAAUCUUUUGAACGAGCAGUGCCGAGGCAAGUGUGAAUGUUCAACAGGGUCUUACUGGAAAAUUUGUCUUAGUAAGGUAUGAGGAACAGCCAUUUGUGGGACAGGUUCAUCAGGAGUUUGAUGAGGAGCUAGAGGUCAGCUGCAUGCAGCAGUUAGGCUCAAAGAAUGCUUUCACUUGGCCCCAUCCUGCAGAUGUUACCUUUUAUUACCACACUGAUGUUCUAAAGAUAAUAUCCGAACCAGAGCCACUUAAUUCAAGGCACACGCGCCUUAACAAUGCAAACUGGGACUGCUUUAGUAGGGCCGCCUAAAAUGAAUCAAUUCCAUUCAUUGGAGCCUAUUCAGUUUCUACCAAAUUAAGUGUAAUUCUUGUCAUGUAAUGUUGCUCAAACAACGUGUUUCUGAUCAGUUUAGUACGGUUUACUUAAAUGGAAUAAGCAGUUUUUAUCCGUACCAAUUAGUGCUUCGUUCAAGCCUAUCCAGUUUCUAAUGAAUAUUAAGUGUUAUUUUGUCAUGUAAUGUUGCCCAAACAAUGUUGUUUCUGAUCUGUUUAGUACGAUUUUCUUAAUUAGAAUGAUGCAAAGUUUUUAUCUUUACCAAUUAAUACUUGAAUAGACCCAAGACACCUGAGAUUCUUUCAUUCUGUGAAAUAAAAAUGAAAUUAUUCAACAUAUGUGUUGCUAUUGUGAAUCGUGUCACACGGCGCAACCGCAUCAUCAGGUGGUGCAACCAGGUAAAAUGGUAACCAGGUAAACCAAGAAAUGGGAGAUUGAAGUGAACAAAUGUUUGGAUAUUGUGAUGUAAAUAAUCAUUCUAUGCAACAAUAUACUUUUUAAAUGUGUAAAGUAUUUAUUCACAUUUUAAAUCUAAAGUUUGAUGUUGGGAACCCA
rnacentral:lncRNA from 1 species